AUUGAACGCUGGCGGCAGGCUUAACACAUGCAAGUCGAGCGGGGGAAGGUAGCUUGCUACCGGACCUAGCGGCGGACGGGUGAGUAAUGCUUAGGAAUCUGCCUAUUAGCGGGGGACAACAUCUCGAAAGGGAUGCUAAUACCGCAUACGUCCUACGGGAGAAAGCAGGGGAUCUUCGGACCUUGCGCUAAUAGAUGAGCCUAAGUCGGAUUAGCUAGUUGGUGGGGUAAAGGCCUACCAAGGCGACGAUCUGUAGCGGGUCUGAGAGGAUGAUCCGCCACACUGGGACUGAGACACGGCCCAGACUCCUACGGGAGGCAGCAGUGGGGAAUAUUGGACAAUGGGGGGAACCCUGAUCCAGCCAUGCCGCGUGUGUGAAGAAGGCCUUAUGGUUGUAAAGCACUUUAAGCGAGGAGGAGGCUACUUUAGUUAAUACCUAGAGAUAGUGGACGUUACUCGCAGAAUAAGCACCGGCUAACUCUGUG
rnacentral:rRNA from 1 species